AUCUCUUAAGUAUUAAAGCUCCCUCAUUUUGAAAGGAGGCUUUAAGGCAAAGAGCUCUAAAAAGCUUCUGUGUUAAGAGUAUGCCGGGGAAGGUUUUCCGGUUUAUCCCGGAGGGCUUGUAGCUCAGUUGGUUAGAGCGCGCGCUUGAUAAGCGUGAGGUCGGAGGUUCAAGUCCUCCCAGGCCCACCAAUUACUCUAUCAAUUUCAUGAAGCGCUAGCGAGCUUGCUUAUAGGCAAGAAGUCUAUAAACCGAUAAAGCCUAUAAAUUUGUGAGGAACUUACAUAACUUGCUGGGAAAGGGCCUUAAGUGCACUUGUAAAAGGACUGAAGAGUGAUGUGACCACUUAAAAUGAGGUUACUCUUUGAGAGGUCCGUAGAGAAAAGACAUUUGUUUUAGCAAGGUGUUUACAAAGGGCAUUAAGAGAGGAGCUUUACUGUUUGCUUUCAGCAAUUGGAGAAUCAAAGCUCUUUAAAGGCAAAGGACUCCCAUUUAAAUCGGUUUUCCUGUAAGUUUUCUUAUUUAAGAGAUUGGAAUGGGUUAUGCUAUUUUAGGGGCCGUAGCUCAGCUGGGAGAGCACCUGCUUUGCAAGCAGGGGGUCGUCGGUUCGAUCCCGUCCGGCUCCACCAUUUAGAU
rnacentral:tRNA from 1 species